UGGAAGAGCAUUGCCUCCGGUGGGGUGCGCGGCCUUCAAAGCCGUUGAGGUGCGACUACGUGCCUGGUGGGUUCGACUCCUACCUCUUCCGCC
rnacentral:tRNA from 1 species